CGGGGGUCGUGAGGGGCUUUGAGCAACCGUGAGGGGCUUUGAGGGGUCGUGAGGGGCUUUGGAGGAACCGUGAGGGGCUUUGGGGGGUCGUGAGGGGCUUUGAGGGACCGUGAGGGGCUCUGAGGGGUCUUUGAGGGCCCCUGAGGAGCUCCGAGGUGUCGAGAGCGGCCUGAAAGGUCCGAGAGGCUCUGAAGGAUUCGUGAGGGGCUUUGAGGGACCCUGAGGGGGGUCUCGGGGGCCGCCGCGAUGGUGGAGAAGGACGAGUCCGGCCCCGGCGGCAUCAGCGAGGAGGAGGCGGCUCAGUACGACCGGCAGAUCCGGCUCUGGGGGCUCGAGGCCCAGAAACGGUUGCGCGCCUCGCGGGUGCUGCUGGUGGGGCUGCGCGGGCUCGGAGCCGAGGUGGCC